rnacentral:lncRNA from 10 species
CGAAGUCUCAGUUCGGAGCUAACUAAUAAUGGGGCCUCGAGCAAGUCCUUUCACCUUGCCAAACACCCGAAGCCAAUUGUGCGAUGGAAGAAGGAGUGCAGUUUUCUACCAGAUUGAUAUGGUGGAUUGUGGACAGCCUCGGAGGCCGCGAUCUGAACAGUUCUUCCUGCCUGGGACGUGGUCAGCAAUCUGGUCCAGGCUUAGCUGGGGUGGUUUUUUUGCUGGUGUCACCAAGGCUCACUCAUGCAGCUGCAGUUACCUAUUGUCUCGAUGGGCUGUAUGAUCUAAGAUGGUGUCACUCAUGUAUCUGGUGGCUGGUACUGACUGUUGGCUGGGUUGCCUUCUGCAACCACGUAGCAAUGGAACAGUUCCAAGA